rnacentral:misc_RNA from 1 species
GAUGAAGAACGUAGCGAAAUGCGAUACGUAAUGUGAAUUGCAGAAUUCAGUGAAUCAUCGAAUCUUUGAACGCAUAUUGCGCUCUCUGGUAUUCCGGAGAGCAUGCUUGUUUGAGUAUCAGUAAACACCUCAACUUCCAUAUCUUUUUUGAAAUGGGAGUUGGACUUGAGUGAUCCCAACGCUUUUCCUCACCGAAAAGUGGCGGGUUACUUGAAAUGCAGGUGCAGCUGGACUUUUCUCUGAGCUAUAAGCAUAUCUAUUUAGUCUGCCUAAAAAACAGAUUAUUACCUUUGCUGCAGCUAACAUAAAGGAGAUUAGUUCUUGUGCUGACUGAUGCAGGAUUCACAAAGACAGGCUUCGGCCGACUUUGUAAACUCGAUCUCAAAUCAAGUAAGACUACCCGCUGAACUUAAGCAUAUCAAUACGCGGAGGA